rnacentral:tRNA from 1 species
GCGCCGCUAGCUCAAUUGGCAGAGCAGGGGCCUUUUAAGCCCAAGGUUACAGGUUCGAUUCCUGUGCGGCGCA